AAUCUUGUUCUGAAGCAAAAU
ensembl:piRNA 21ur-4584 ncRNA